AACCUCGUACCUUUUGCAUCAUGAUUUAGCCAGUAACCCCCAAGCAAAAAGUAUUUUAGUUUGACACCCCGAAACCAGGUGAGCUACUCCAAGACAGCCUAUGAGGGCGAACCCGUCUCUGUCGCAAAAGAGUGGGAAGAGCUUUGAGUAGAGGUGACAGACCUACCGAACCUGGUUAUAGCUGGUUGCCUGAGAAACGAAUAGAAGUUCUGCCUCCUGUGUUAUUUUCAAACCAAGAGAGUUAGUCAAAAGGGGUACAGCCCCUUUGAAAAAGAUACAACUUUAAUAGGAAGGGUAAAGAUCCUAGUACAAAACUAAGUAACUGUUACUGUGGGCCCAAAAGCAGCCAUCAAAAAAGAAAGCGUUAAAGCUCAAACAGAUUCUCCCGAUAAACACAUCUUAUCCCUCCAAACCUAUCAGGCCAUUCUAUGCACCCAUAGAAGUGACUAUGCUAAUAUGAGUAAUAAGAGAAGAAUCUCUCCCCGCACACAUGUCAAUCAGAACGAACCCACACUGAAAAUUAACGGCCCCAAACAAAGAGGGAACAGAGUAAUUACCAGAAAAACACCCACCGUUAACCCCACACUGGUGUGCCAACCAGGAAAGACUAAAAGAAAAAGAAGGAACUCGGCAAACUAGCCCCGCCUGUUUACCAAAAACACCGCCUCUUGCAAGAAUAAGAGGUCCCGCCUGCCCUGUGACUUACGAGUUUAACGGCCGCGGUAUUUUGACCGUGCAAAGGUAGCGCAAUCACUUGUCUUUUAAAUGAAGACCCGUAUGAAUGGCAUAACGAGGGCUAAACUGUCUCCUUUCUCAAGUCAAUGAAAUUAAUCUUCCCGUGCAGAAGCGGGAAUAACAACAUAAGACGAGAAGACCCUAUGGAGCUUUAGACAAAACACAGACUGCAUCAAAUAGAUUAAAAAUAAAUAAACCUAAACCAAGCAAUCCCUGUCUAAUGUCUUUGGUUGGGGCGACCGCGGGGAAACAAAAAACCCCCACGUGGAAUAAGAGUACUCUUUAAACCAAGAGCCACAGCUCUAAAAAACAGAAUAUCUGACCAUAAAGAUCCGGCAUGACCGAUCAACGGACCGAGUUACCCUAGGGAUAACAGCGCAAUCCCCUUCUAGAGCCCAUAUCGACAAGGGGGUUUACGACCUCGAUGUUGGAUCAGGACAUCCUAAUGGUGCAG
rnacentral:rRNA from 1 species